rnacentral:lncRNA from 1 species
CCAGAAUGGUCGGCAUGAAUAAUGAUUAGGUAUUGAAGCUUUGACCAGGAAGUUGGAGAAAUCUUUUGCUUUUAGCUCUCUCUCUCUCUCUCCGUGUUUGCCGUUCAUUCCACCUCCAUUUCAUUCCCAAAUCCAAACCCUAAAUAUUUUGGAAAAGCGAAUCCAUAGCUCCAUGUUCCGUGCAGAUUUUCUCUACGUGAUGUUUAUCCAAUUUCUUUAGUAAAUAUAUAAAUCUCUCAAUUUCCUCUGUUAAUUUAUCAUUUCCAACUAUUUUCUGUCCAAAUUUCGAACAAAUAUUUCUCUCUCCGACAAGGAAGAUGCGUUGUGAUGCUUAAAGUAUUCCUUAUCGUCUUCUAUUUGUUCUUUUCUUUGCUCCCUGUUGUCUUCUGGCAUGGGGACCCAUCCAACCCUACGCAGUUCAAGUCUUCAAUUGUUGAACUAUUACGUUGCUUCUAAUGGGUUAUGGGAUCAAUUCGUUGGUUCACACCCGUGUUUUCUAGUUUAGGAGACGAAUCGGUUAAUGAUUUUAGAGCCACAUAUGGUUCUUUGAUUAAUUCUUUCUAUGGUAAGUGCCUCAUAUUUUCAUCCAAACACCGCCUCCGUUGCAUCUACUUCCUAGGUUUAAUACAGUAAAAGAAUUCAGAACAUAAAAUAGUAAGCUUUGAACCAUUUUACACGAGUAUUUUCCUACUUACCUCAGGCUCAACAGCAUGAUCGACGGUUCGAUCGAUUGUUGCGGCAGAGGCAAAUCUCUGUGGCAGAAACUCGUUACAGGCCGAAAGGACCCGAUUUAAUUUUGCAGCUGUAGAUGCUAAUGUCGCCAGCGUUUCAAAUUAUUUUUGCACAAUUAAAUAACAAGCAAGCACCGUAUAUAUUUUUGCACGUUUGGUUGCCGAUGUUGGGAAUGGUGAUGAGUGACCAAAUCUAUUUUUAUUGUGACUCCCUGUGACUAGAUUUGUGUUAACUGUGACCGUAUGUCACUUGGCUAUAUAUAGUUACAAAUUAGAAUAAUAUGAUCACAGACAUUCACAUAGAAGAUAAAUUUGUUCAUGAACACAUAAGGUAACAGUUCAUACGUUACAAGUAACAAUUCACUGUUAAAGUCACACUUCACUGGUUACAGGUUUGAGUUCACAAAUCACAGUCAUUUCAUAUAAGUCACAAAUCAAUAUAAAUGGGUCACAGAUCAAUAUCAAUAGGUCACAUAUUGUUUUGUAGAAGUCAUAGAUCAAAUUUAUAUGUCACGUUUUAUGUUACGAGUCACGAGUAACAAAUCAUAUGUUAAAAAUAAUAUUUUAUAUAUCACAAUGUACACAGGUUACAUGUUGUUGCCCAAAAAAAGAAAAAAAAUUCAAUUUAAUACAUUUAAUUACAAUAAUAUUUUUUGAUUAAUUAUCUCACAACUAAAAUCUUAAUAGUAUUUGAUAUUUGAAAUUACAAAUUUUAUUUAUUAAUUUUGAAAUUAAUCAAUUGCAUAUUCAUCCCACCUGAUUAGGUCAUAGAUUCAAUAGAACUGAUCACAGAUCAUAAUGUGCACAGGUCACAGAUCUAAUGCAAUCGGUCACAGGUCAUUGCCAAAAAAGAAGAGAAAAUAAAAAAAUGUAGUUGGCGAAAAGGUGCGUGGUCACCGAAACAGUCAAAGAGGUCGUCGGAAUGGGAUAAGUCGCUGGAAUAGUUAUCGGAGCUGUCGCCGGGAAGUCGCCGAAAGUCACCGGAGUCGUCAUCGGAGAAGCUGCCAAAGUUGUCACCGGAGGUGAGGUUGGAUGGAG